UCCUGGUCCACUCCGCAGAGGCCCGAGCGGGCUCGCGAGGGAACGGGUUCUCCGAGUCUGGCCGGCCACAACAACUGGAUUCUCUUUUCUGAUUUUUGCUGCAGCUUCUGCUUUGUAAUCAUACGGACAGUUGUGCUUGUCAGAGUUAACGGUGAAGUCCACAAAACAAAUUUCCACAUCGGCAGUCAAACCUCUCAUCCUGCAGCUAAGAAUGCCUAACCUCCUGGGAAUGCAGCCCAGCAGAUCUCAGCCUCAUUUUACCCAGCCCCAGUUCAAUAUGGAGUUGCUCUGGUUCGAACACCUCUGACAGUAUGGAGGGUUUACAAUUCUUAAGAAGAGAGAAGUUGCUGAGCUUUAGAGAAUAAGCUGAAACAUGCAUGAAGCACUAAUAACUCUUGCCCUGUACUUUGUUACUUUAGUGAUAAAUUUUACAGCUGGUUCUUUGAAUAAUUUAUAUUAAUUAAGUUUCUCUGUCUGAUGUGAAGUAGCCAGUGAAUAAGCAAAGCCUAAUUCUCCAAUAAAGAUAAUAAAGCCCUUCUUGAGUUAAAUGGAA
rnacentral:lncRNA from 1 species